ACCAGCAGCCCUGCUGCGGUUAUGUUGCAUAGUCAAGGAUGGACAGAUUGCCUCUUUAAAGAACAUUGGUAGGAAAUUCGACACUUGUGCCCUGAUGUCCAAGAAAUAGUAAGGCGUCAUUUGCUCUCUUCCAAUUUGUGUGAACCAUUCUGCAACCUACGGAAUUUUGGAAGAUGAUGAACGGUGCGCCUGCCUGAAAGGCUACGGAUCAAGUUCUGGAAUUUGGGCAGCUAUUUUCCAGCCGGCACGGACUCCAUCUUCUAUGUCGUAAACUCUACGAUUCCUUGAAACUGGCAAGACGUCUGAUUGACACAACACAGUGGAAACCUGGAGCGAUCUCCCCAAAAGGCUUUCUGGAUGCUGUGGAUUCUUUCAUCCUCCUUCAGUCUGUACAGUAAUAUCAAUCGGCUAAUUGUGCUACAGAUUCCUGCCCCUUCAAUGGUUGUACUACUGAUCGAAGAGGAGGAUUUACCAGGAACCCUGCUGCGGUUAUGUUGCAUAGUCAAGGAUGGACAGAUUGCCUCUUUAAAGAACAUUGGCAGAAAAUGCGACACUCGUGCCCUGAUGUCCAAGAAAUAGUGAGGCGUCAUUUGCUCUCUUCCAAUUUGUGUGAACCAUUCUGCAACCUACGGAAUUUUGGAAGAUGAUGAACAGUGCGCCUGCCUGAAAGGCUACGGAUCAAGUUCUGGAAUUUGGGCAGCUAUUUUCCAGCCGGCACGGACUCCAUCUUCUAUGUCACCAACUCUACGAUUCCUUGAAACCGGCAAGACGU